GGCAGUUUCUGAUUCCUCUGCUGGAGUGACCACAUGGGUGAGGCCGUGGUAGCACAUGGAGAGGGAGAGAAGCCCAGCUGAGCCCGGCUCUCCAGCCUUCUAUUCCAAGGGGCCCACAUGGAAUUCUUUCUCGGUCGACACAACAGAGGAGUUAAGAAAUAGAAGAGGACCUCCCUGUCCCUGCCAAUAAUCCACCAGAUCUUCGAACUGAGAAGGGGCAGAGAGUGGCCUAAGAAUCAGGUGCUGAUACCUGUGUGCUAGUCCUGUGUGCAGCAGACGACUGGACAUUGACAUCAGGCUCAAUGCUUUCUCAUGUGACAUUUUCUAGG